AGGUGAGGUAAGAGCUCACCAGCGGCCAGGCAACUGGUCCGGCUUAGAAAACCCCAUCCGGAGCAACACCGCGUAAGGGAUGCUAAGAUGGCCCGUCGUUUCCCAGGUAGGUGGCUUGAGCCAUGCAGCAAUGCAUGGCCUAGAUAGAUGGUUGCCUAAUACAGAACCCGGCUUACAGGUUUACUCAAAUA
rnacentral:RNase_P_RNA from 1 species